AAAGGAUAGUAAUUUUUCUCUUUUAAUGCCCUUCUCCCUCCUUCUUCCUUCUUCCUACGGCACAUUGCAGUAAAUUAAUGUCAUGGUGGUUAUUACAGUAGCGCUGCUAUGGCAAGUAUUCAAGCAACGAUCCUCGAAUAUUUUACCUCAGCAUUUAUUUGUCCAUAAAAUAAAAUAGGAUUUAUUGCAGUACUCUCUGGUUUGAGGACUGCAUGGACAGCAGCUGUGACAACUCCUUAUCUCCACUGCAGGUAAAGAUAUAGGGGAUGAUUCCCUGAAGCUAAAGAGAAACAAGGAACGUGGAAGUCAGUCAGCUACACAACCACAGUGUCACACAAAUUGGGCUAUCAGCUCCUCUCUGCUGGAGAUGGCGAAGGAGAAUGGGAGCUGUGGGAACAGAUCCAGGGGACAGAAGCCCACAGAGAUCUUCCCCAGAAGAUGAGUGGAGCAGAUCAGAGAUGGGAAUAAAGGAGCUGUCACCAACCACAGCCUUCUCCCUGCUCUGCACAGUGAAUGCACAGUUGAGAAAGACCAAGCAGAAAUGUUGCUCCAAAGGAACCUUUGCAACCAGCGGGUCAGGCUGCCUGGAACAGAUCCUCAUAGCUCAGAUUUCUGCUUUCCUGGUUUUCUUGCCCAUUAUGUAAGCAACUUUUCC
rnacentral:lncRNA from 1 species